CACUCCUUUGACUUAAGACCUGGUUUUCCUGUCCUUUUGUCGGAGUUAUGUCCAAUGGACCUGGAAAUUCUCCGGGAGUAUUGGGAAACAUUCUUGGACGAAGUUCCUCUUCAGAUGGUGAAAUAUAUUGCCACGUGCGUCUGUAUGGCUAUUGGGCACUUGCACCAACGGCACGUAGCCCACUUCGAUAUAAAAACGAACAACGUUUUGAUAAGUGUGCACGGGAUCCCUAAACUAUGUGAUUUGGGGUCCGUUCACCCUCUCAAUGCAGCUGGGGAGAGUACCCACGG